AAAGAAUACCAGGUCUGGAACCCAAAGAGCUUAUGACCCAGUUUCAAAACAGCCAAACAGUAAAACACAUUGUGUCAUAUCCUUUAUAAAGAUGCAUUCUAACUGGAAUAAGUGUGAACAUUAAAGUGAAAAAUGCAGAAAUUGAGAUUCAUGAAUAUAAAUGAGAUCUACGAAUAUUCAGUUAUCAAUAACUAAAAAAUAAUCACUCAUUAAGCUUAUUGCAUUAAACAAAAUAACAAAUCAUAAUUUACAAUGCAUUAUAAUAUCAUACAAACUCAAAAGUCAUUUGUCGGUGUGUCAGCAGUAUAAUAAACUCAUAAGGAAAUAGAAGGAUUAUCUGCUUUGCUUGCAAAACCUUCCCACCCACAAUUACAGCUAAUAACAUUUUCGGUCAAACUGACAAUUUGUUAUAGAUACUGUGGGGCAAAAGCAGUAAAUCAAAGUGUGCAAAGUGAAAGUUCAUAAUACAGUAGCUUAAUAUGUGACCCUGGUGAUGCUAUAAACAUGAGCUCUGUUCAUGCAUUGCCAUAUGAGCAGAAGGAAUUUAAAUAUACAGUUUAUUAAUACCAGUAAAAUUAAUUUAAAUGCGGUUUACAUGAGCGAUAAUUGAGUGCUGAUUGGGUUGAUUACAAUGCAUAGCCACUUUUAAGCCUUAGUAAGCUGAAAUUCACUUUUUAUGCAAACACUGUGGUAUUUUUAGGUUAAUUUCGUCAUUGUCAAGGGCCCACGUUUGCACAUAUUAUCAGAUAAAGGCUGCACAUUCGACUGUGUGCCUGCGCUAAACCAAAGUAUGCUUCUGGGUUUUCUGAGCAAGCAGCUCUCAAGGUUUUAUAACAUAAGGCAAAAGCAGCAUGUGAAAACGGAAAAUAAUGAUCAUCUCCCAUUCUGAGCAUUUAACCAGCAGUCCGUCAGUGAAGUGACAAAAGUCUGAAACAGGAAAUGCCGCCUGAUACCAGAUAGAGCACAGGGCGGAACACCGGAAGUACUGAGAAAAUCACAAUCCAUGCUGUAAUGUGCGCUUGGAGAGCCAGAUCUCAAAGAAAGAACGUGAUUGGCAGAGACACACGGGCUGCUUUCCCUCUGGUCCUCUCUUGGCUGCCACUGGGUUGUUUAACCCCUUAACUUCUGUACAUCAAAACAAACAUUAAGUGAUUUAAUAACAGAUUUACAAUUCAAAUAGUCUUUAGACAAAACGAUUAUUUUAUAAAUAUCACACAUGCCAUUUU
ensembl:lncRNA